AGUGAACGCUGGCGGUAGGCCUAACACAUGCAAGUCGAACGGCAGCACAGUAAGAGCUUGCUCUUACGGUUGGCGAGUGGCGGACGGGUGAGGAAUACAUCGGAAUCUACUUUUUCGUGGGGGAUAACGUAGGGAAACUUACGCUAAUACCGCAUACGACCUACGGGUGAAAGCAGGGGAUCUUCGGACCUUGCCCGAUUGAAUUAGCCGAUGUCGGAUUAGCUAGUUGGCGGGGUAAAGGCCCACCAAGGCGAAGAUCCGUAGCUGGUCUGAGAGGAUGAUCAGCCACACUGGAACUGAGAAACGGUCCAGACCCCUACGGGAGGCAGCAGUGGGGAAUAUUGGACAAUGGGCGCAAGCCUGAUCCAGCCAGACCGCGGGGGUGAAGAAGGCCUUCGGGUUGUAAAGCCCUUUUGUUGGGAAAGAAAAGCAGCAGGUUAAUACCCCGCUGUUCUGACGGUACCCAAAGAAUAAGCACCGGCUAACUUCGUGC
rnacentral:rRNA from 1 species